CCUCCCGCUGUUGCUGGGGCUUGGGGUGGAACUCGAUGGAACUGUUGGCCAGGUCGCCCAUCCUGCCUGUUGUGUCCGACCUCUUCACAGCUGCAGGCUUGGCUAAUGGCAGGUGCCCACCAGGC